UGCUAGGAUUUUCAGAGAUGGAUUAGUGCCUUCGGGAACACUGAGACAGGUGCUGCAUGGCUGUCGUCAGCUCGUGUUGUGAGAUGUUGGGUUAAGUCCCGCAACGAGCGCAACCCUUAUCCUUAGUUGCCAGCACGUAAUGGUGGGAACUCUGGGGAGACUGCCGGUGAUAAACCGGAGGAAGGUGGGGACAACGUCAAGUCAUCAUGGCCCUUACGGGAUGGGCUACACACGUGCUACAAUGGCGCGUACAAAGGGCAGCGAACCUGCGAAGGUAAGCGAAUCUCAUAAAGCGCGUCGUAUUCCGGAUUGGAGUCUGCAACUCGACUCCAUGAAGUCGGAAUCGCUAGUAAUCGUGGAUCAAAAUGCCACGGUGAAUACUUUCCCGGGUCUUGUACACACCGA
rnacentral:rRNA from 1 species